GUCGUAAAGCUCUUUCGCAGCGGCAUGGAUAAUYGCACAGUMCUGGUGAAAGACACCCCGGCUCAACUCCGUGCCAGCAGCCGCGGUCAAUACGGMGGGGSSYUAGCGCUUGUUCGSMAUUMCUGGGCGUAAAGCGUCACGAGGCGGGUYRGUAAGUUCAGAGGUGCGAAUCCCRGGGCUCAACCCUGGAACUGCGCUCCUAAACUGSCRACCUAGCAGUUCGAGAGAGGUGAGCUGGAAUUCCGAGUGUAGAGGUGMAAUUCGUAGCAUAUUCGGAGGAACACCAGUGGCGAAGCGCGGCUCACUGGCUCGAGUACUGACGCUGAGGURCGAAAGUGUGGGGAGCAAACAGGAUUAGAUACCCUGGUAGUCCACACCGUAAACGAUGAAUGCCAGCGUGCGGGUGAGCAUGCUAUUCGGUGACACACCUAACGGAUUAAGCA
rnacentral:rRNA from 1 species